GGCGAAAGGAGUUCGGUUAGGUAGAUCAGUAGAUUGUGAAUCUAAAGGUCAUGGGUUCAAAUCCCAUCUUUCGCC
rnacentral:tRNA from 1 species